AUGCAGCGACGCCGCGUGAGGGAUGACGGCCUUCGGGUUGUAAACCUCUUUCAGUAGGGAAGAAGCGUAAGUGACGGUACCUGCAGAAGAAGCGCCGGCUAACUACGUGCCAGCAGCCGCGGUAAUACGUAGGGCGCAAGCGUUAUCCGGAAUUAUUGGGCGUAAAGAGCUCGUAGGCGGUUUGUCGCGUCUGCUGUGAAAGACCGGGGCUCAACUCCGGUUCUGCAGUGGGUACGGGCAGACUAGAGUGCAGUAGGGGAGACUGGAAUUCCUGGUGUAGCGGUGAAAUGCGCAGAUAUCAGGAGGAACACCGAUGGCGAAGGCAGGUCUCUGGGCUGUAACUGACGCUGAGGAGCGAAAGCAUGGGGAGCGAACAGGAUUAGAUACCCUGGUAGUCCAUGCCGUAAACGUUGGGCACUAGGUGUGGGGGACAUUCCACGUUUUCCGCGCCGUAGCUAACGCAUUAAGUGCCCCGCCUGGGGAGUACGGCCGCAAGGCUAAAACUCAAAGGAAUUGACGGGGGCCCGCACAAGCGGCGGAGCAUGCGGAUUAAUUCGAUGCAACGCGAAGAACCUUACCAAGGCUUGACAUGAACCGGAAAGACCUGGAAACAGGUGCCCCGCUUGCGGUCGGUUUACAGGUGGUGCAUGGUUGUCGUCAGCUCGUGUCGUGAGAUGUUGGGUUAAGUCCCGCAACGAGCGCAACCCUCGUUCUAUGUUGCCAGCGGUUCGGCCG
rnacentral:rRNA from 1 species